rnacentral:lncRNA from 1 species
CCUCUACAUAAUUAUAUAUCUAUGUGAAUGUAGACCUCUUGUCAUUGCCAGCACACAUAACUGCAAUAGUCUUUGACAAAUUUACAAUAACAAACAUUGACAAGAUUCAGCAUUCAUGGCUUUCAAAUGUUCGGGGAACAUAAAUCCUGAUAAAAGUAAAUUGUAAAGAAAUACUAAGUCAUUAUGAUCGGGUUGAAAGUUGAAGGUACAGAAGAAUUGUUGAAGUGUUUUCCCCUCUUGGAAUAGUGUAAUCCGAAAACUAACGAUUAUAAACUAAUUUUCGCAAUAUUUGAUAUAAUCUGUAUUGAACACUUAAAGUUGUUGUUUUCUUCAUUAAUAAAUUCAGAAAACCAUGACGUUCUUACUCUUUAUUAUAUCACAUAAAUUGUUACUUGGCUGAUAUUAUUAAAGAUUUGUCUCCACAAAAUAAAAACACGUUUAUAAGAGAAUCAAAAAAUUUGAAAAGGGUCAUUUACACUAAAUAAAUAGCACAUGGCUGCGAGGGUGAUAGAGCAGAUUGUUACCUCAAGAAAACAUUGUCAAACGCGGCUUACAAUGUUUUUUCGAGGGGUACCAGUCUGUUCAUCACUGUCUCAGCUAUUUGUUUUUUAAAUUUAUUAUACUGAAUGUCCUAUCAUUAUUGUUUUUUACAGAUUAUUGUUUGUUAAUUAUUUUCCAUGACGUCACGUACAUAACAACGUGACGGUUAUUAAGUAAGGCAAGAAGUUUUAUUUUAUUUAUUUUAUUUUGACAGUCACAUCUGAGCCAAAACGUAGAAGGUAAUCAUUGUAUUUAAUUACUUUUUGCAAAUGCAAUUCAUUGUCCUUUAAAUUAUCGAUUUAUGAUUGGUGUGGACGAGAGGUGACAUUCAAAAAAAUUAUCUCCCGCUCAGCCAUGUGAUAGAGUAAAUUAACAGCCUCGUAUUAACCAAUCAAAACAUAGCAUUUUAACGUGAAGUAUAAUAAAAUCAGUUGACAAUAAAAUGACAAAACAGUGAUACGACAAAAAGACAAAUGGUAGUACACAAAACACAACAUAGACUUAUUUGUAAACCAGAGGUAUCAGCGAUUCUGUGAUAAUCAUUUAAAUCCCAAAACAUAUAUUUCACCGGCAGAUUCAUUAUCGAUUUCUCGACAUUAUUGACAACGCACUCUAUUUAAGUUCU